AACACAGGCUCCUGGGAAAAAGCAUCAGUGGAAAAUUCAGCUGCAGCCAAGAAGCUCGAAGGAAAUUUCUACUUUCUUUUUUCUCCCCAUACUCUAAGGCUCUCGGCUAUUCCAGAUGGAGAAAACAAACUCCUGUCCGAUUUACCUACCCAGUCACAGAUGGUCAUCUUGGAACAGAAAGUGAAUAGCAGGAGGAGCCAGUGAAGAAGACACAGAAAACAAUAGAGGAAUUGCCUUCCCAACAGAUGAGAACAUAAAAGUCUACAGCACAGAUACUUAAGCAAGGAGUUCACAGAGAAAUUUCAGAUAUUUGAACUGGAUUUCCAAGGAAGCAUUUCUUUGAUUUCUUUCUUAUAUGUUAAAGAUUAUUUAUGUGGGGUGAAAACAACAAAACAGCAUCAAUAAUAAAAAUUAACCAGGUUCAAUUUUAUUAUGAAGAAAUAGUUUUACACCUAACAUGGAUAGAGAUGGAUAUGAUAGGAAUACACUAUUGUUACCAUGCUAUGAUGUCUAAAACAUUUUUUGAUAUAAAUAAUCUCCUUACUUAUAUUGAUAUUAUUCUUUGUUUACAUCAAGCCUGAUUACACAGGGCAAUGUCAAGGAAAAACAAAUACAAUGAGUCUUAUGCAACCUUUGGUUAAUCUGCAUUGACAAACAUGUUGGAACACCAAAGGUUCAAUAUGGCCUGUUGACCAAGAUUCUUGCAAAUCAAAACAUGAAACUAAAACCAAUACUACAAUGCUUCCUCUAUUCACAUAUCAGAAUGUCUAAAAUUUAAAGACUCACCAUACCAAGUGUUGGCAAGAAUGUGGAAUAACUGAAACUCACACACAUGACUGAUGGGAAUGUAAAAAUAGUAUGUGCACUUUGGAAGAUAGUUUGGAAGUUUAUUAAAAAUUGAAAAUAUACCAAGUCUAUGACCCAUCCAUUCAACUCUUAGGAAUUUACUUCAAAAAAAUGAAAGCCAGUGUCCAUGCAAAGACUUGUACGUGAAUGUUCAUAGCAGUUUUUUAUAAUAGCCCAAAACUGGAAACAACCCAAAUGUCCAUCAGUAAAUGAAUGGAUAAACAAAUUGUGUUGUUCAAGCAUACUAUAGCAGGGGUCUCCAACACCCAAGCUAUGGACUGGUACCACACAGCAAAUACCCAAGUCAGGAAUUGGGCCACACAACAGGAGGUGAACAGCAGUUGAGCGCACAUCACUGCCUGAGCUCCGCCUCCCAUCAUUUCAGCCGGGGCAUUACAUUCUCAUAGGAGCACGAGCCCUAUUGCAGACUGCACAUGCAAGGGAUCCAGGUUGCACACUCAAUAUGAUAAUCUAAGGCCUGAUGAAACCACCACUGCCACCACCACCCCCUACUCCUGUCUGUGGAAAAAUUGUCUGCCACGAAACCAGUCCUUGGUGCCAAAAAGGUUGGAGACUGCUGCAGUGUAGAAUGCUACACAGCAAUACACAGAAAUGACUUAUUGAAACCCACAACAACGUGGAUGAAUCUCAAAAUAGCUAUGCUGAGUGAAAAAAGCCAGAAAAAAAAAAA
ensembl:lncRNA novel transcript